rnacentral:rRNA from 1 species
GUGGGGAAUAUUGGGCAAUGGGCGAAAGCCUGACCCAGCAACGCCGCGUGAAGGAAGAAGGUUUUCGGAUCGUAAACUUCUAUCCUUGGUGAAGAUAAUGACGGUAGCCAAGAAGGAAGCCCCGGCUAACUACGUGCCAGCAGCCGCGGUAAUACGUAGGGGGCAAGCGUUGUCCGGAAUGAUUGGGCGUAAAGGGCGCGUAUGCGGCCCGGUAAGUCUGAAGUGAAAGUCCUGCUUUUAAGGUGGGAAUUGCUUUGGAUACUGUCGGGCUUGAGUGCAGGAGAGGUAAGCGGAAUUCCCGGUGUAGCGGUGAAAUGCGUAGAGAUCGGGAGGAACACCAGUGGCGAAGGCGGCUUACUGGACUGUAACUGACGCUGAGGCGCGAAAGUGUGGGGAGCAAACAGGAUUAGAAACCCUGGUAGUCC